AUGUGCGUCCAGUUACCCAGCCCGUGCCCAUGUGUGCCACCUCUUAGCUUUGUGCGUCUGGCCUCAAGAGGAAGCCGUUUCCGUCCUGGCGCUUCUUGCUGUGACGUCCUGGAGAGGGGCGUGGGAACGCCGACCUGGCCCCCGGGCAGGUGGAACGAGUGGAUUUGCUGUCAGACUCCGGCUCGAGGUUGUUGGCCGGGCCGCCCACGGGGGUUGUUGGAGGUGCCGCGCGUAGUAGCUGUUGUCUCGGGAGGCUGCCGUCCGUGUGGCCAGACGUCACGUUCCUGGCCGAGCGAGGAAGAAGCGGGGCCUCCCCUCUCCGUGCCCCGUGAGUGUGAAAGGUGGCAGGUGGUGGCUGGGCCAGUGUGGGCUGGGGUGCUGGGGUGCUGGGGUGCGGGGCCACGGAGUCUGCUCAGGAGUCUGGGCGGGAGCAGCAGCGCCUUCGAUCCAGCGCAUCUCUGCGCCUGUGCCACUUGCUGGGCUGUCCCGUGGGUAGGGGGGCGGGUGGGCGCUGGCGGAGGACCUGUAGCUUCUCCUCCCCUCUGGCACCCCGCGCAUAAAGGUGCUGAAGACCCCCCAGAAGAAGACUCAGCCCGGGUCUAGGGAGCUCAGCAGCCACACGGGGAAGCACGGUUGUGGGGUGUGUUAGGGGGCAGCAGACCUGGGGCCUGGCUGUGUGCCCCACGCCCCCGAGACGGGGGUGGAACCCGCUGCCCCGUGGGGCAGAGUGGGGAGCAUGCUGAGUGCCGCGGGACGCGGUCCACGGAGCUCGUGGCGAUUUCACUCUUGCUUUGGCGGGAGGUUAGGGGGUUCCAGAACGGUGGGAUAAAGCGCGAGUCCCGUCCUAGGGUUUUCUGAGGCUUUCUAUUGCUGCGGCGAGCCGUCCCGGAGGUAUCACCCACCACCCAGACCUGGGUUCUGCGCCUUUCAGAGAAAGCUGGGUUGCUUGAGGCUUUUUUUUUUUUUUUUUUUUUUUUGCUGUAGGCUGUAUUCCCUGAUGCUCAGCCCCAGUGCUCCCACGAAAGCCAGACAACCUCUGGGAGGGUGGACACAGUUCACGUCUUAGGAAAGCCUGCCGGGCUAGAACAGGUGACCUCCCUCAGACAGGAGGUGACGCCCUGAUAAUGCCCGGGUGGGGGAGUGAUCCGAGAGGCCAGGGUUCUCAGGCGGUGACCUCUGGACCGCCUGUGUCGGGGCCCCUCCCGUCUGCCUGGCUCCGGGCUGCGGGGCCCACCUGCAGAGCUGGGCCCCACAAUCCCACGUCCCUGCGAGGCCACCCAGUGAGCCUCUGGA
rnacentral:lncRNA from 1 species